rnacentral:rRNA from 1 species
CAAUAGCGUAUAUUAAAGUUGUUGCGGUUAAAAAGCUCGUAGUUGGAUUUCUGCCGAGGACGACCGGUCCGCCCUCUGGGUGUGUAUCUGGUUUGGCCUGGGCAUCUUCUUGGAGAACGUAGCUGCACUUGACUGUGUGGUGCGGUGUCCAGGACUUUUACUUUGAGGAAAUUAGAGUGUUUCAAGCAGGCACACGCCUUGAAUACAUUAGCAUGGAAUAAUAAGAUAGGACCUCGGUUCUAUUUUGUUGGUUUCUAGAGCUGAGGUAAUGAUUAAUAGGGAUAGUUGGGGGCAUUCGUAUUUAACUGUCAGAGGUGAAAUUCUUGGAUUUGUUAAAGACGCACUACUGCGAAAGCAUUUGCCAAGGAUGUUUUCAUUGA